CGCGGCCCACGGCUAGGGGGUGGGAGCAGGGACCCCAAACUUCUCCCGGGUGGGGGCCAGAGAAGGGGGGCGCAUUCGGGCGGGAGGCAGCCCACCGCGACCACCCCUCAUCUCCCCCUCCCGCGCGAGUGAAAACCGAUCCCGUCCCCAGCGCCGGCGCGCGGCGGGCUGGGUACCAAAGGUUAGCUCCGCCCGUCUCCGCGGAACGGGCGGGGGCCCGAACUCAGGCAGCGGGGCGUCCCGAGGGUCGGAGGCGCCUUUUGGGGGAAUAAGGGCGGUGUCCUCUCGGGGCCUCCCUGCAGGACGCGGCCACGCAGGCAAAGCCCUGCACCCACUCCCUGCUGGUUUCCCGCCUUCCGCCGCCCUUCGCGCGCGGGUUGCCCGGGCUCCGCAGGUCGGUGGCCGACCCCAGGCAGGCGUGCUCCAGGCCGUCACCUGGCUGUGCCCUCAGGGGACUGCCCGUCCGUCCGGGCAGCGAUGCAGACUCGAGCCGACAUCCCAACACCUGUGAAAUGUGACGAGCCCGGGAGAGGUUCGUUUUGCCGGACAGGAAGCAGCCUUCGAGCUGGGUUUGUAAGAGCCACUUCUUUGUGUAGGAAUUCAUGACUGCGACCAGUCAGCGGUGCUUGAGGAUGCAUUAGUCUGUUGGAACCAUCAAAGGAUUUAUUGAAGAACUGAAAACCAAACUAAUGCAGGUGAAGAUGCUGAAUAAGACCCAUAGGAACACCAUUUACUGAAUGUGUGGAUCCCAACCCAGCAAUUGCACUCCCAGGUUGACACCCAGCAGAACCGCGUACAUGUGCAUGCACACACCGAAGGAGAGAGACUUGGUACCGGAGUGUUCAUAGCAGCACUGUUGACGAGAGCUGCCAGCUGGAACUGCCCAACCUCACCAACAGUAGAAUGGAGACACUGCUGGGUAGUCACACCUUGGAGCACUACACAGCUCUGAAAAGACACAAUUGAGACAGGAUUAAUUGUACCAGAAUCCUGGAGAGAUAUAAUUACUACACCUAAACUUGACCUUGAGUUUCUUGGCAACCAGAGUAACAAUCAAAUUAUAAUCA